AGCUCCAAUAGCGUAUAUUAAAGUUGUUGCAGUUAAAAAGCUCGUAGUCGUAUUUCUUGGCGUGGCUCAGCGUCCGGUGGCACUGCUGCUGUGUAUGCAUGGGUUUCCACGCCAAUCCUCGUAGAGAGCGUGGCUGGCCUUAACUGGUCGGCCAUGGGAUCUGCGUCGUUUACUGUGAAAAAAUUAGAGUGUUUAAAGCAGGCAUUUUGCUGUGAAUACAUUAGCAUGGAAUAAUAAGAUAGGACUUUGGUGCUAUUUUGUUGGUUUGCACACCAAGGUAAUGAUGAAUAGGGACAGUUGGGGGUAUUCGUAUUUACUUGUCAGAGGUGAAAUUCUUGGAUUACGGAAAGACGAACUUAUGCGAAAGCAUUUACCAAGGAUGUUUUCA
rnacentral:rRNA from 1 species